rnacentral:rRNA from 1 species
ACUACGGGAGGCUGCAGUGGGGAAUAUUGGGCAAUGGGCGCAAGCCUGACCCAGCAACGCCGCGUGAAGGAAGAAGGCUUUCGGGUUGUAAACUUCUUUUCUCAGGGACGAAGCAAGUGACGGUACCUGAGGAAUAAGCCACGGCUAACUACGUGCCAGCAGCCGCGGUAAUACGUAGGUGGCAAGCGUUAUCCGGAUUUACUGGGUGUAAAGGGCGUGUAGGCGGGGACGCAAGUCAGAUGUGAAAACCACGGGCUCAACCUGUGGCCUGCAUUUGAAACUGUGUUUCUUGAGUACUGGAGAGGCAGACGGAAUUCCUAGUGUAGCGGUGAAAUGCGUAGAUAUUAGGAGGAACACCAGUGGCGAAGGCGGUCUGCUGGACAGCAACUGACGCUGAGGCGCGAAAGCGUGGGGAGCUAACAGGAUUAGAUACCCCGGUAGUC